UACGGAGGGUGCAAGCGUUAAUCGGAAUUACUGGGCGUAAAGCGUGCGUAGGUGGUUUACCAAGUCAGGUGUGAAAGCCCACGGCUCAACCGUGGAAUUGCACUUGAAACUGGUAAACUAGAGUCCUGGAGAGGGUAGUAGAAUUCCCGGUGUAGGAGUGAAAUCCGUAGAUAUCGGGAGGAAUACCAGUGGCGAAGGCGACUACCUGGACAGUGACUGACGCUGAGGUACGAAAGUGUGGGGAGCAAACAGG
rnacentral:rRNA from 1 species